GCUCGUAGCUUCGUGUGUGCAGCGCAUGGCUGGACUUCAGCUUCCGCGAGGCUGGUUUCGAGGGAAAAGAUUAUUUUAUUUUUAAAAGCACAUGAAAGGAAUAUGGAAGAACUUUGGGAUACCUUGACAAAACUAAACCUUCAAAUUAUAGGUAUAGAUUAGGAAGGAGCAUCCUAAGCCAACACACACGUCUAUAAAGAUACAAGAAGCACACAGAACACCAAAUAAACUCUUUACAGUAUAAUCAUGGUUAAACCACCAAAUAAUGCAGAACAAAGAAAAAUAUUGAAAGUUGAAAAAGCCACAAGUAACAUAAACUAAACAAAAUUAUCUGCUGUAGUUGAAGAAAAAAAAACUUUCCAUGAUCCAAACAGUCUGAAGGAAUUCAUAUCCAAUAGACCAAGCCCACAAAGGAUACUGGAUGUAAUACUUCAGACUGAAGAAGCACAGCCAAGAUACUGCAGAAAGAGAGUGAGUGAAGCAUGAGGAGUAUGAGAGAAAACGACAUGUCUGUAAACAACACACACAACACAGGCUGGCUGAAAGAAUAAGAAACAAAAUCCAUCUUUCUGUUGUUUUUGAGGCCCCACAUUAGAGUAAAAGAAUGGAAAACAGUACUUCAAUCUAAUGGGACCAGGAAGCAAGAAGUACUGCAAUCCUGACAUCUGGCAAAACAAACACACAAAAC
ensembl:lincRNA Gm26692 predicted gene, 26692